ncrna:unclassified sequences dfrA-dnaX RNA
ACACUUAGUGUAAAACUAUAUUAAUUUCAUCAUAAUCUACAAUAAAGAAAGUAUUAAAAAAUGAGAUUAUGAUAUAAU